GGACCACGGGACGAAGUGAGUGGGUUUGCGGACCCUGGCAAGUCCCCGGGUCCCUACUUCCGCAGAGAUGCGGCCACGUAAUGGUGGAACGCCUUCGUCACAUCCUUCUUCACUAUUCGUGUGAUGGGUGGAGAUGUGCGUGCAUGGAGGCUUGCGAGAUCUCUGGAGCGUGAGUGAGGGCUUUAUGGCCGAUCAUAAAGCACAGUGAUUCACUUGAUCCGUAGGGAUCAACAGAACGGGGCUUCCAAUCCCGUGGUC
rnacentral:SRP_RNA from 15 species